rnacentral:tRNA from 3 species
GCACUUAUGGCGGAAUGGCAGACGCGUCAGACUUAGGAUCUGAUUCUUACGAGUGUGGGUUCAAGUCCCUCUAAGUGCACCA